rnacentral:rRNA from 1 species
UAAAAUUUGAUAGGCCAACUACGCCCCCUAUCCGCCCGGGUACUACGAGCAUCAGCUUAAAACCCAAAGGACUUGGCGGUGCUUCACAUCCGUCUAGAGGAGCCUGUUCUAGAACCGAUAACCCCCGUUAAACCUCACCCUCCCUUGUUAAUACCGCCUAUAUACCGCCGUCGUCAGCCUACCCUGUGAAGGACUAGAAGUGAGCAAGAUUGGUAAGACCCAAAACGUCAGGUCGAGGUGUAGUGUAUGAGAGGGGAAGAAAUGGGCUACAUUUCCUAAAUCAGGAAAUACGAAUAAUGAACUGAAAUAAGCAUUAGAAGGUGGAUUUAGCAGUAAGCAGUAAAACAGAGUGUUCUGCUGAAAUUUGGC